rnacentral:rRNA from 1 species
CCUACGUGUGGCAGCAGUGGGGAAUAUUGGGCAAUGGGCGCAAGCCUGACCCAGCAACGCCGCGUGAAGGAAGAAGGCUUUCGGGUUUUAAACUUCUUUUCUGAGGGACGAAGAAAGUGACGGUACCUCAGUAAUAAGCCACGGCUAACUACGUGACAACCGACGCGGUAAUACGUAGGUGGCAAGCGUUAUCCGGAUUUAUUGGGUGUAAAGGGCGUGUAGGCGGGAAAGCAAGUCAGAUGUGAAAACUCAGGGCUCAACCCUGAGCCUGCAUUUGAAACUGUUUUUCUUGAGUGCUGGAGAGGCAAUCGGAAUUCAGGGUGUAGCGGUGAAAUGCGUAGAUAUACGGAGGAACACCAGUGGCGAAGGCGGAUUGCUGGACAGUAACUGACGCUGAGGCGCGAAAGCGUGGGGAGCAAACAGGAUUAGAUACCCCUGUAGUC